UGCUUGGGAGCCGCUUCAUCCGUCACAGAUCCGUGGGACGGGCCGAUCACGGGCACUGCUCCGUGCAUGCACCGCUGGUCUCAGCUUCCUACAUCGAACCUAGCAGUCUUCCCGGCGCAAGCUCUGUUUUGGGAGAGCCGUGGUUGAAUCCGCACGCGGACAGCAUCUACUGAGCACCACCUGAGAACACCUUCACGUCACCAGGACGACAGCGACGAACCAGGCUCUUGGGCUUAAAAGAGGCAGCGCCAGCAACGGCCUUCAGUGGACGCGGCGGCAGGGCCAUGACACUGUCGCUUGACGUACCAUUGUUCAUGGAGGGAGGUUGUUGUUGCUAUCGGAUGACACAGAAGAAAGUCUUGGGCCUACUAACGCGGAAAUGAUUUAGGAGCCUCUUGAAACGCAGAAGGUUGUCCCUUAAGCCUGCUGCCCGCCAGGACCGCGAAGCGGAAGAAAAUCUGAACGGUUCAUGUGGCCCCGAUCCCACAAACUUGGAACGUUCCACCGGAGCAACGGCCAGGUUUCAGAGGGAGCUUGUAAGGAACACAUCGUGUGUGCCCUGUGUUGUGUGAGCGCUUGUGGUUUUCGAGUGACCUCGGAUCCAUUACUGCACUGCAGGACGUGGACCAACGCACGAUCGCCUUGGCUACGGUUAAGGAAUGUGUGCCCUCGCAGUACGGUGAGGUGCGUGUCGGUUCUGCGUGCCGAGAUUCGUUAGUAAAAGGUGUCGUGCCGCGUUUUGCAACAAUGUAGUACUACAGCGUGCCAAUAGGCUGUUCCAGGGUUCCCCGAAAGGACCUCAGCCCGCUCCUGAUAUUGAAAUCUGAGCGAAGAAGAAAGACAGCGUGGAAACCGGCUGCUCCAGGAUUGCACGAAAAGACCUCAGCGCGCGCCUAAUCUUGCAGGCUAAGCGAAGAAGAAAGACAGUGUGCAUGCAAACUGGCUGUUCCAGGAUUCCACGAAAGGACCUCAGCCCGCGCCUCACCUUGCUGUGGCUGAGCGAAUAAGAAAGACAGCGUGCAAAGCGGCUUUUCGAGGAUUGCACGUAAGGAGCUCCGUCCGCGCCUCACUUUGCGGGCUGAGCGAAGAACGAAGA